CCUACGGGUGUCAGCAGUGAGGAAUAUUGGUCAAUGGGCGCGAGCCUGAACCAGCAAAGUCGCGUGAAGGAUGACUGCCCUAGGGUUUGUAAACUUCUUUUAUAAGGGAAUAAAAUGAGACACGUGUGGCAUAUUGAAUGUACUUUAUGAAUAAGGAUCGGCUAACUCCGUGCCAGCGGUCGCGGUAAUAAGGAGGAUCCGAGCGUUAUCCGGAUUUCUUGGGUUUAAAGGGAGCGUAGAUGGGUUGUUAAGUCAGUUGUGAAAGUUUGCGGCUCAACCGUAAAAUUGCAAUUGAUACUGGCAGUCGUGAGUGCAGUGGAGGUAGGCGGAAUUCGGGGUGUAGCGGUGAAAUGCUUAGAUAUCACGAAGAACACCGAUGGCGAAGGCAGCUUGCUAAACAGCCACUGACGCUGAGGCGCGAAAGUGUGGGUAUCAAACAGGAUUAGAUACCCCUGUAGUC
rnacentral:rRNA from 1 species